CGUGUAGGCGGUCGGCCAAGUCUGAUGUGAAAGCCCGAGGCUCAGCCUCGGAAGUGCGUCGGAAACUAGUCGGCUGGAGCGCGAUAGAGGAGGGUGGAAUUCCUGGUGUAGCGGUGAAAUGCGUAGAUAUCAGGAGGAACACCGGCGGCGAAGGCGGCCCUCUGGAUCGUUGCUGACGCUGAGACGCGAAAGCGUGGGGAGCAAACAGGAUUAGAUACCCUGGUAGUCCACGCUGUAAACGAUGGGUACUAGGUGUUCGGGGUAUUGACCCCCUGAGUGCCGCAGCUAACGCAUUAAGUACCCCGCCUGGGACUACGGCCGCAAGGUUAAA
rnacentral:rRNA from 1 species